GGAAUGAUAAAUACAGUUUUUACUAUGCCUUAGAGUUCUUACCAUAAUUCUUACCAUUUGGAGUCAGGAAAUAAAAAUAAUUGCUUCAUUGUUUGCAUUUUUAUUGGCCAACUAAGUUCACAGUGGAACUUUCGUCUACUUGGUGUUAAUGAAGGUAAAUAUUUAUUCUUCUCUUAUUUGGAUGAGAAUUACCUAGGUACAUCAAAUAGGUAUGACAUACUGUGACACUGGGUGCCGCUACUAGGUAUACUCUACUUAUAUUUCAACGAUACUGGAAAAAUUCAUAACUCAGGUAAGGGCGUUAUCUUGCAAGCUACAGAGCUAGUAUUUAGUCAUAUUUCGAUCCUUUGAGAUUCUUUCAUCAUUCAGAAAUAAAAAACUAAAUUCAGCUGGAACAGGCACAUUUCUAGGAAGGAAUGUGACGGAUCAUUUAUAUCUUAUUUAUAUCUCAUCGUCAUCUCACUUAUCAAACAAUGCUUCUCGUCCUCAUCUUGUUCUAAUCUUGUUGAGAGCAGGCGAAGAUUUGAAAUGCGCGCUACAGAUUCGGUAGUCGCCUGGCAAAAGUGGUACCCGCCUGACGUCACAAAACUUCAAGAUGGCAACAAAAAUCAAACUGGGACAAUAAUCAAAGAAAAGGACUGUGGUGGUUACAAAGGAAUACCUAAAUGAUCAUUCAUUUUUUCGAACCCUUAUAAUUUAAAAAAAUUAAUUUGAAGUGAAGUACGUAUUUGGAGACUUUUCACUUUACUGGGAGAACAUCCAAUGCCCAGCAUGAGCAUUGGAAACGUCAUUCGUGAACUCAAAAUGACCGACUUGUUUUUCGUUCGGAUUUCGCCCGUUAGGCGCACUCGAGUGCGAAUGGAAACAAAACAUAGAAUCAGUGAUGCAGGUGUCUCAAACAGUAGUUUCCCUAAAUUUCUUCUCCAUGAAAUAAAUUGCACUUGAAUAAUGGCAAAAUUUUGCGUUGACUGAAUUAAAUUCCAGCCAACAUUGUCCCACUAAGUAAUAAAAUAAAGUUUACUUAAUGCUGAGUCAACGGAACUUUAACUAGAAAAAGUUAUGAAUCAGUAUGUGCUGUCAAGUAUAGUUGGUACUUAGCUUUCUCCCGGCCAAUGUUUUUUCAAAUCAUGACUUUGGAGGUUAUUUAGUCAGUCGGUGAUUCGUGUAGGUACUCUAAUUCAUAUUGUGAGGCGUCCUAUCCAAAGUCAACUGAAUACAUAUAUUGUAGAUUGUUGUUAAAAUACCAAUAAAAAAAAAAAAAAAAAAAAAAAAAAAAAAAAAAAAAAAAAAAAUUCGCAGUACCUACUUAUACGUUAGGUUUCUCAAUUCUCUAUUUCUCUGUUCUGUGCUCUGUGUCUGAUUACUCUCUGGUCUGAUUCGGCGGAUGUACUUGUACUUACCCCAGACUCGUAGGGAUGGUCACGAAAAUUAAUUACUUAAUUCAUUAAAAAAAAAAAUAUGUGAUGUCUGCUAAAAGGCUUCGGAUUGUUCUGUUUGUAGUCGCGUGGAAAUCUGCCGCGUUCAGCGUUCGGAACAUUUAUAUGUUUUCGAUUUUACCUAAAAUGUAACCGUUCAUUGAGCCAGCUAAUCUCUUACGAAUUCGUUGUAUAAUAGUUCGAUAACAAAAAUUAGUGCCACCGUGAAAUUCAUAUCCGUUAUUCGCAGCUCUGCGCCACUUUGAAAUAUGUUUGGUGUCAGUUCCUGUUGGGAGCAGGAGAGUAGAUUCGGUCUGCCGAGUGUGGCAGCACUUGUACGGCCCACCGAGAGGGGCUGUCUCUCGAGAAAGAGGCAAUAGACUACUGAAAUGGCGUCCACCUGAAUCGUCUCGUCUUUUCUUGUCGUCCGUUCUCACCAACUAAACAUGGAACUGAGGCAAAUCCAUUUCAUCUGACUUCAGCGAGCGCCGAUCAACUUCAUUCGCCCCAAGUAAACUGAACAAAUCAUUAAAUAAUUUUUUGUUUUUUUACAUCAAACAGUUGUUUGUUUUCAGUGUCAGUUCCAACAAUUUCUGAAUAUAUUUUGCAGAUAGUUGUCCUUA